rnacentral:rRNA from 1 species
UACGUAGGGUGCAAGCGUUGUCCGGAAUUACUGGGCGUAAAGGGCUCGUAGGUGGCCAACUAAGUCAGACGUGAAAUCCCCAGGCUCAACUUGGGAACUGCGUCUGAUACUGGAUGGCUUGAAUCCGGGAGAGGGAUGCGGAAUUCCAGGUGUAGCGGUGAAAUGCGUAGAUAUCGGGAGGAACACCUAUGGCGAAGGCAGCUCGCUGGGACGUUACUGACGCUGAGACGCGAAAGCGUGGGGAGCAAACAGG